UACGGAGGGUGCAAGCGUUAUUCGGAAUUAUUGGGUGUAAAGCGCGUGUAGGCGGCCAAGAAAGUCAGAUGUGAAAGCUUCGGGCUUAACCCGGAAAGUGCAUUUGAAACUUCUUGGCUUGAGUGCGGGAGAGGAAGGCGGAAUUCCCAGUGUAGAGGUGAAAUUCGUAGAUAUUGGGAGGAACACCGGUGGCGAAGGCGGCCUUCUGGACCGACACUGACGCUGAGACGCGAAAGCGUGGGGAGCAAACAGG
rnacentral:rRNA from 1 species